rnacentral:sRNA from 1 species
UCCAGUGUUAAUUGCGUCUACGGGUCGCC